rnacentral:lncRNA from 1 species
GCCAGACGCAGGUCGGAUUGGGCGGGACUGGCCUCUGGGAGAUCUCGAGCUGAACCAGGAGCAGCAGCAGCUGCUGGCCAUGUCCAUGGAGAAAGUCUUCCUUCUCCAACAGGCAGAGUUGGUGAGGAUCUGAGGAUUGCACAGUGGAUGUCAGGGAUGACAACAAAGGUGGUGACCAUGCUGGAACAAAUUCUUCCAGUGGGAGGCAGUGCUCUUCUGUCUUCACUUCAAGCUGCCCAGGGGCUUUUAGGGUGAGGAGCUGAAGGUCACCCAGCCCUGGUUGAGCUCUG